rnacentral:lncRNA from 1 species
CUUUCUACUACCAUUCUGGUAGAACUUUGAACAAAAUUGUUCCGCUGCUGUUUCCUGGUUAAGGUACCAAAGUCUUUAAAUGAUGUCAUCAGAUUUUGAGAACGACGGUAUGCUGCAUCCCCAACCAAAUGAAACUCAUCAGGCAAGAUUGUUUUCUUUAUAAUCCGCUUCCCUAUUUUAAAAUUUCAGAAAACACGGGCAUCACAUGGACGGAUCCCGGCCACCCAUUAUUAACAGACAUGUACUUCAUCUCAUGGUCGCAUACUACUUGGACAACAAUACUAUGGUAUCCUUUUCUAUUAAUGUAAUUUUCCUGAUGUUGAUU